rnacentral:rRNA from 1 species
UGCCUAACACAUGCAAGUCAACGGAGUUACUGAUCGAUGCGGCUUCGGCCAAAGAGAACUUUACUUAGUGGCGGACGGUGAGUAACGCGUGAGCAAUCUGCCUCUUUGAGGGGGAUAACGCACCGAAAGGUGUGCUAAUACCGCAUAAAGUCUCAUACGGCAUCGUAUGGGAAUAAAAGGAGCAAUCCGCAGAGAGAUGAGCUCGCGUCUGAUUAGAUAGUUGGUGGGGUAACGGCCUACCAAGUCGACGAUCAGUAGCCGGACUGAGAGGUUGAACGGCCACAUUGGGACUGAGACACGGCCCAGACUCCUACGGGAGGCAGCAGUGGGAAUAUUGCACAAUGGGCGCAAGCCUGAUGCAGCAACGCCGCGUGAGGGAAGACGGUCUUCGGAUUGUAAACCUCUGUCCUUGGUGAAGAAACAUGACGGUAGCCAUGGAGGAAGCCACGGCUAACUACGUG